rnacentral:rRNA from 1 species
CCUAUAUGGUAGCAGGAUUUAUUUUCUACUUUAUCAAGCAAAUCAAGAGAAAGUCAUCCUAAUACUCUUCGAAAAUCUCUUCAAACCACGUCAGUUUCCAUCUGCAACCUCAAAACACUGUUUUGAACAACCUGCGGCUAGCUUCCUAGUUUGCUCUUUGAUUUUCAUUGAGUAUAAGAUACAAGGGAUUCAUUUUCGAAUUUAAGAAGGAGUCUACAAACCAAUGAGGCUUCUUCUUUUCUUGCUUAUUUGAUAACUAUCAAAAAAGUAGAAGAUUAAGAGAAAUAUAGAAAGAGAUUUCAUGAAACAAUUUUUAGAACGGGCCAGCAUUUUGGCUCUCUCCCUCGUUUUGAUUACCUCCUUUUCCAUUUCGAGUGCCCUACCAGCCAUGUUUGACUAUUAUCAGGGUUAUUCUAAGGAACAAAUUGAGCUCUUGGUGAGCUUGCCUUCCUUUGGAAUCAUGAUGAUGUUACUGCUAAAUGGUUUCUUAGAAAAAAUAUUUCCUGAGCGCUUACAGAUUAGUUUGGGCUUGCUGAUUUUAUCAUUGAGCGGUACAGCUCCCUUCUGGUACCAAGCCUAUCCCUUUGUCUUUGGAACACGGCUUCUCUUUGGUUUGGGUCUUGGGAUGAUCAAUGCCAAGGCCAUUUCUAUUAUCAGUGAACGCUACCAAGGAAAAAGGCGAAUUCAGAUGUUAGGGCUACGCGCUUCUGCAGAGGUCGUUGGAGCUUCUCUCAUUACCUUGGCCGUCGGUCAGUUGUUGGCCUUUGGUUGGACAGCUAUCUUUCUAGCCUAUAGUGCUGGAUUUUUGGUGCUGCCCCUUUAUCUGCUCUUUGUCCCUUAUGGAAAAUCAAAGAAAGAAGUCAAGAAAAGAGCGAAGGAAGCAAGUCGUUUAACUCGAGAAAUGAAAGGCUUGAUUUUUACCUUAGCUAUCGAAGCGGCAGUUGUAGUUUGUACCAAUACAGCUAUUACCAUCCGUAUUCCAAGUUUGAUGGUGGAAAGAGGAUUGGGGGAUGCCCAGUUAUCUAGUUUUGUUCUUAGUAUCAUGCAGUUGAUCGGGAUUGUGGCUGGGGUGAGUUUUUCUUUCUUGAUUUCUAUCUUUAAAGAGAAACUGCUCCUCUGGUCUGGUAUUACCUUUGGCUUGGGGCAAAUCGUGAUUGCCUUGUCUUCAUCCUUGUGGGUGGUAGUAGCAGGAAGUGUUCUGGCUGGAUUUGCCUAUAGUGUAGUCUUGACGACGGUCUUUCAACUUGUCUCUGAACGAAUUCCAGCUAAACUCCUCAAUCAAGCAACUUCAUUUGCUGUAUUAGGCUGUAGUUUCGGAGCCUUUACGACCCCAUUCGUUCUAGGUGCAAUUGGCUUACUAACUCACAAUGGGAUGUUGGUCUUUAGUAUCUUAGGAGGUUGGUUGAUUGUAAUCUCUAUCUUUGUCAUGUACCUACUUCAGAAGAGAGCUUAGGAUUGAUUCCUAAGUUUUUCUUUUGAUACUCAAUGAAAAUCAAAGAGCAAACUAUAGUUGAUUGAGUUUGGAAUAGUACGCUGUAGCUGCUAAAAUAUUUCUAGAAAUUAAUUUGACUUUCCUAAUAGAGUUGUUCAUAUCUUAUUUCAAUCUACUAUAGAAAGCUAGCCGCAGGUUGCUCAAAAUAGUGUGUUGAGGUUGCAGAUGGAAACUGACGUGGUUUGAAGAGAUUUUCGAAGAGUAUGAGAUUUUUAUACCCAUACAAUAUUUGUUUUAGGUCCUUGUUUACAGACUAAUUUCUUGAUAAAAUAGAGGCUAUGACGAGAUAUAAAGCAACUAUUUCCUAUGAUGGUUAUGCCUUUGCUGGCUUUCAGCGCCAGCCUCAUGCGCGUAGCGUUCAGGAAGAAAUUGAAAAAACCUUGACCAGAUUAAAUAAAGGGCAAGCCAUUACUGUUCACGGUGCUGGUAGGACAGAUAGUGGGGUUCAUGCCCUGGGACAGGUGAUUCAUUUUGACCUGCCUUAUCAGAUGGAUGAGGAGAAACUCCGUUUUGCCUUGGAUACCCAGUCUCCUGAAGAUAUUGAUGUGAUUUCGAUUGAGCUUGUGGCAGAUGAUUUUCAUUGCCGUUAUGCCAAGCAUAGCAAGACCUAUGAGUUUACUGUGGAUAGAGGACGUCCCAAAAAUCCGAUGCGCCGUCACUAUGCCACCCACUUUCCCUACCCACUCGAUGUGGAACGAAUGCAGAUUGCAAUCAAAAAGCUAGAGGGAACCCAUGAUUUUACCGGUUUUACAGCCUCUGGGACUAGUGUAGAGGAUAAGGUUCGCACCAUCACAGAAGCUAGUUUAAUAGUCGAUGAGACAGGACAAUUUUUGACCUUUACCUUUUCAGGAAAUGGUUUCUUGUAUAAACAGAUUCGCAAUAUGGUGGGGACUCUUCUCAAAAUCGGUAACAACCGCAUGCCAGUAGAGCAGAUUGAUCUCAUCUUGGAGAAGAAGGACAGGCAACUUGCAGGUCCCACUGCAGCACCAAAUGGUUUGUAUUUAAAGGAGAUUCGUUAUGAAGAAUAAUCGUAUUUUAGCACUUUCUGGAAAUGAUAUUUUUAGUGGUGGUGGACUGUCAGCUGAUUUGGCUACCUAUACCUUGAACGGCUUGCAUGGGUUUGUAGCAGUGACUUGUUUGACAGCCUUGACAGAAAAAGGAUUUGAAGUCUUUCCAACUGAUGAUACCAUUUUUCAACAUGAAUUAGAUAGCUUGCGUGAUGUGGAAUUUGGGGGAAUUAAGAUUGGUCUUCUCCCUACUGUCAGCGUGGCUGAGAAGGCCUUGGACUUUAUCAAACAACGCCCAGGAGUACCUGUGGUGUUGGAUCCUGUCUUGGUCUGCAAGGAAACGCAUGAUGUAGCUGUCAGUGAGCUCUGCCAAGAGUUGAUUCGCUUUUUCCCUUAUGUCAGUGUGAUUACGCCUAAUCUCCCAGAAGCAGAAUUAUUAUCCGGUCAGGAAAUUAAAACCUUGGAAGACAUGAAAACUGCAGCGCAGAAAUUGCAUGAUUUAGGAGCGCCAGCAGUCAUUAUCAAGGGAGGCAAUCGUCUUAGUCAGGACAAGGCUGUGGAUGUCUUUUAUGAUGGACAGACCUUUACUAUCCUAGAAAAUCCAGUUAUCCAAGGCCAAAAUGCUGGUGCAGGUUGUACCUUUGCCUCUAGCAUUGCCAGUCACCUGGUUAAAGGUGAUAAACUUUUGCCAGCAGUAGAAAGCUCUAAGGCUUUCGUUUAUCGUGCUAUUGCACAAGCAGAUCAGUAUGGAGUAAGACAAUAUGAAGCAAACAAAAACAACUAAAAUCGCCCUUGUAUCCCUAUUAACCGCCCUUUCUGUGGUUCUAGGUUAUUUCUUAAAAAUCCCAACACCUACAGGAAUUCUAACUCUUUUAGAUGCUGGUGUCUUCUUUGCGGCCUUUUACUUUGGUAGUCGUGAAGGAGCGGUAGUCGGAGGACUAGCAAGUUUCUUGAUUGACCUCUUAUCAGGCUACCCUCAGUGGAUGUUCUUUAGCUUGGUCAACCAUGGCUUGCAGGGAUUUUUCGCAGGAUUUAAAGGAAAAAGUCAGUGGUUAGGCCUUAUUUUAGCAACUAUUGCCAUGGUAGGAGGCUACGCCUUGGGUUCUGCUUUGAUGAAUGGCUGGGCAGCAGCCCUCCCAGAAAUUCUACCGAAUUUUAUGCAAAAUAUGGUAGGGAUGAUUGUAGGAUUUAUUCUUAGUCAAAGUAUCAAGAAGAUUAAGUAAUACUCUUCGAAAAUCUCUUCAAACCACGUCAGCUUCCAUCUGCAACCUCAAAACACUGUUUUGAGCAGCCUGAGGCUAGCUUUCUAGUUUGCACUUUGAUUUUCAUUGAGUAUAAAGAGGUUGAGUAAAAAGUAUUUCAAAUAAGAAAAACGCAUAGUAUCAGGUGUUGAAUGAACUGCCCCCCAAAAGUUAGACAGAAAAAAUCUAACUUUUGGGGUGUUUUUAUUAUGAAACUAACUUAUGAUGAUAAAGUUCAGAUCUAUGAACUUAGAAAACAAGGAUAUAGCUUAGAGAAGCUUUCAAAUAAAUUUGGGAUAAACAAUUCUAAUCUUAGGUACAUGAUUAAAUUGAUUGAUCGUUACGGAAUAGAGUUCGUCAAAAAAGGAAAAAAUCGUUACUAUUCUCCUGAUUUAAAACAAGAAAUGAUUCAUAAAGUCUGACAUGAAGGCUGGACUAAAGAUAGAGUUUCUCUUGAAUACGGUCUCCCAAGUCGUACGAUACUUCUUAACUGGCUAGCACAAUACAGNACUGUUUAUCAAAAACACAGCUCUCUGCUAAAUCGUAAGAUGAUGUAUAGGGGGUGACGCCUGCCCGGUGCUGGAAGGUUAAGAGGAGUGCUUAGCGUAAGCGAAGGUAUGAAUUGAAGCCCCAGUAAACGGCGGCCGUAACUAUAACGGUCCUAAGGUAGCGAAAUUCCUUGUCGGGUAAGUUCCGACCCGCACGAAAGGCGUAAUGAUUUGGGCACUGUCUCAACGAGAGACUCGGUGAAAUUUUAGUACCUGUGAAGAUGCAGGUUACCCGCGACAGGACGGAAAGACCCCAUGGAGCUUUACUGCAGUUUGAUAUUGAGUGUCUGUACCACAUGUACAGGAUAGGUAGGAGUCUAAGAGAUCGGGACGCCAGUUUCGAAGGAGACGCUGUUGGGAUACUACCCUUGUGUUAUGGCCACUCUAACCCAGAUAGGUGAUCCCUAUCGGAGACAGUGUCUGACGGGCAGUUUGACUGGGGCGGUCGCCUCCUAAAAGGUAACGGAGGCGCCCAAAGGUUCCCUCAGAAUGGUUGGAAAUCAUUCGCAGAGUGUAAAGGUAUAAGGGAGCUUGACUGCGAGAGCUACAACUCGAGCAGGGACGAAAGUCGGGCUUAGUGAUCCGGUGGUUCCGUAUGGAAGGGCCAUCGCUCAACGGAUAAAAGCUACCCUGGGGAUAACAGGCUUAUCUCCCCCAAGAGUUCACAUCGACGGGGAGGUUUGGCACCUCGAUGUCGGCUCGUCGCAUCCUGGGGCUGUAGUCGGUCCCAAGGGUUGGGCUGUUCGCCCAUUAAAGCGGCACGCGAGCUGGGUUCAGAACGUCGUGAGACAGUUCGGUCCCUAUCCGUCGCGGGCGUAGGAAAUUUGAGAGGAUCUGCUCCUAGUACGAGAGGACCAGAGUGGACUUACCGCUGGUGUACCAGUUGUCUUGCCAAAGGCAUCGCUGGGUAGCUAUGUAGGGAAGGAAUAAACGCUGAAAGCAUCUAAGUGUGAAACCCACCUCAAGAUGAGAUUUCCCAUGAUUAUAUAUCAGUAAGAGCCCUGAGAGAUGAUCAGGUAGAUAGGUUAGAAGUGGAAGUGUGGCGACACAUGUAGCGGACUAAUACUAAUAGCUCGAGGACUUAUCCAA